rnacentral:lncRNA from 1 species
AUUGACCAACCAUUAUUUAAUUUAAUGCAUAUUUUGAUUAUUUUUAAUUGUUUAAAUGCCAAAUAAAUUAUGCAGAGCCAUUUUAAUUGACUUGUUGAGUUUGAGUUGUGUUGUUGGAUCUUGGUCAAGGUUGAUUUGACUUUUUAGGUUAAGAUCAUUGGAUUUAGGGGAUUGAUGAAAUGUACAUUUCAUCUCCCAAAAUGAAUGAAUGAUCUUAAUUUG